CCAUCAACCACUCGGACCAUCUCUCC
rnacentral:tRNA from 1 species